rnacentral:rRNA from 1 species
UACAGAGGUCCCAAGCGUUACUGAGAAUCACUGGGUUUAAAGGGUGCGUAGGUGGUCCGUUAAGUCAGUUGUGAAAUCCCCGGGCUCAACCCGGGAACUGCUUCUGAUACUGGCGGACUUGAGGCCAGUAGGGGUCACUAGAACUGACGGUGGAGCGGUGAAAUGCGUAGAUAUCGUCAGGAAUGCCGGUGGUGAAGACGGGUGACUGGGCUGGUUCUGACACUGGAGGCACGAAAGCGUGGGGAGCGAACGGGA